rnacentral:lncRNA from 1 species
UUUCUAGAGAAAAUCUGAAGGAGACAAUUGCAAUAAAUGUGAUGAGAAGACCAUUAGUUACAGCAGUGAAACCAACCUCUGAGUAGACUGGGCAUUUAACUCCUGCUGCAAGUCAAAACUGCCAAAGUAAUCAGUGGGAAGAAGGAAGACUCAAACACACAAAGAUACAAACAUGCAAAGCUCCAGGAGGGAGAAUCAAUUCUUGCUGAAGACCAUUUGCUCAUCCAUCUCUGUUUGCCAGGGCCUUUUUGGAGUAAUUAAGCAUUGGCUGCUGAUUAACAGUGAGGUCUGAUGCUGUAAAGAGCCUCUGAAAACCCCCAAAUUCCUGAUUACACCUUGGGAUGCAGAUUGGCCUCAACCACC